rnacentral:rRNA from 1 species
CCUUUGUACACACCGCCCGUCGCUACUACCGAUUGAAUGGCUCAGUGAGGCUUCCGGACUGGCCUAAGGAGGUCGGCAACGACCACCUAGGGCCGGAAAGUUAUCCAAACUCGGUCAUUUAGAGGAAGUAAAAGUCGUAACAAGGUCUCCGUUGGUGAACCAGCGGAGGGAUCAUU